rnacentral:sRNA from 17 species
AUCGGCAUUGCUUAUGAGCGCUGAUAACUCGCCGCUCGCAAUUGCUGCAUCGUUUUCGACUUUUGACCACGGAUGUACUGGCACUGGUUUGGUAAGCGAUGAUGAGGAAGGUCGGUGCGGUUUCGCCCCGGCCUUUUUUGUU